UACGGAGGGUGCGAGCGUUGUCCGGAAUCACUGGGCGUAAAGGGUGCGUAGGCGGGUCUUUAAGUCAGAGGUGAAAUCCUGGAGCUCAACUCCAGAACUGCCUUUGAUACUGAGGAUCUUGAGUUCGGGAGAGGUGAGUGGAACUGCGAGUGUAGAGGUGAAAUUCGUAGAUAUUCGCAAGAACACCAGUGGCGAAGGCGGCUCACUGGCCCGAUACUGACGCUGAGGCACGAAAGCGUGGGGAGCAAACAGGG
rnacentral:rRNA from 1 species